rnacentral:rRNA from 1 species
GAUGAACGCUGGCGGUGUGCCUAAUACAUGCAAGUCGUGCGGAAAGGCCCUUCGGGGUACUCGAGCGGCGGACGGCUGAGUAACGCGUGGGAACGUGCCCCAAAGUGAGGGAUAACGCACCGAAAGGUGUGCUAAUACCGCAUAUGGUCUUCGGAUUAAAGUAUUUAUACGCUUUGGGAGCGGCCUGCGUACGAUUAGAUAGUUGGUGAGGUAAAGGCUCACCAAGUCUACGAUCGUUAACUGGUCUGAGAGGAUGAUCAGUCACACUGGAACUGAGACACGGUCCAGACUCCUACGGGAGGCAGCAGUGGGGAAUAUUGGACAAUGGGCGAAAGCCUGAUCCAGCCAUGCCGCGUGUGUGAAGAAGGUCUUCGGAUUGUAAAGCACUUUAAGUUGGGAGGAAGGGCAGUAAGUUAAUACCUUGCUGUUUUGACGUUACCGACAGAAUAAGCACCGGCUAACUCUGUGCCAGCCGCCGCAGUAA